rnacentral:lncRNA from 1 species
UUUUUUUAAACUAAUAAGAUUAUUGCUUGAGAUCUUUAUUUAUGAAAAGCAAUACUUGAGUCAAUUAGAGUUAAUCAGAUCAUGAGAUCAUCACUUGUCAAGGAUUUUAUCUGAUAGCUGGAUUACUUUAAGGAUGAUGCUGUUCUGGAAUCUAUAAGAAUAUUCUGUAGAAAAAUAAUUUACUGUGCUUUAUUUUUUGGCAUCUUUUUAUAAUGUAAGAAUUGCAUAUUAAUAUUAAUAAAGCAUCCAGUUACAUAAUUCUCUUGUUGAUGCUUUGAGUCGUGAGUGCUAAUUAUGGAGUUAUAUAAAGAAAAUUCAACUUGAACGAUGAGCAUUUCUCAUUUUAGCAUAUUAUAUUUGAUAUUUUAUUUCUGGCUUUUUUGAGUUCCUUUCACUGGCAGACUUGUUCUAUAUUCAUUUGUAUUGUUCUUAAGUGCUACUUCGUUGUUGUUUUACAUGAAUUGUGAUAUGAUUUUGUUUUUUGGACACUUGGUUUUUCUUGAAUUGUUAAGCAGGGACAUGUUUUUGCUUCCCCUAGUGGUAUGAAUGCUGUGAGUUCAACCCCCUUGGUUAGUCACGUGUUCCUGCCACUCCAAUGUUUCAUUCUUUUUUCUCUAAUUUCUUGAGAAUUAAAAUAUGUGGUGCUAUAAGCUUAAUGCAUGGUAUGGAGGCAGCCAUUGUCACUAUCGUGAAAAUGAUAUAUUUGAUUUGUAUCAUAUAAUUCUCUCACCGCCCCAGUCACUUAAAUACUGGUAAUUGACAACAAGGAGGAUAAUUCUGUGAUGCCACUUUUUCCCAUUCUCUUCUAGCUUUUAUGGUAUGGAUGGCAUGAUGUCAUGACACGAACAUGACUGUUUUAAUUGCAGAAGUCAGACCAAGAUGCUAAUUAUAUUCUGAUGCCACAUGUUCUGUAGACCAGGAUUCAAAUUCUGAUGCACAAUUGAACAACUCUGUUUUGAAGAUCAUCUUGGAGCUGUCAUUGACACAUUGACUGCCUGCUUGCGGUUCAGUCCAUUUAUUUGUUCUUGAAAAUUGUAUCAUUGUUAUCUGCAUUCAUCAUAGUGUAUUCACUGGGUUGUUCAAAAAAGGGCCAGCCUUCACCCAUCAUGGUUCCCCCCUCAUUAUACAACUUAACCCCACAUCUUUUGUUUGAAUCCAACAAAUUGGGAUGCCGUAGUUGUUUAAAUGCAGCCAUGUAUAUAAUCAUUAGAAACAGAACAAAUUUGUUCAUGACCUUUGGUGGGAAAACACUAGAGCUUCAAGUGUCAAAUUGUACUGUUCACACAUACUGUUUCUUAUGAUUGGUCUGAUGCUGGCUAAAGCAUGUCCAUGCAUAAACUUUGGAGCUCACCUGGUUUCAUAAUUUAAAAUGGAGCACUUGAGAUUUUUUAUCCUCAAGGAAGAUCAGAACUUUUGUUCCUUUUGUCUAUCCUUGAGCAGAUGAAUGCACUGAAAGACUUGGGAUUGGACGUGGCUAAGGGAACUGUUAACACCGAAGGAUCAGUGAAACAAUCAAAAUUUUGUAUAACACGACUGUAAGUAAUUAUGAAGCAGUAAUAGAAUCUUUUACUGGCUUUCUAGAGAAGUGGAACAUUUUAUCAUCUUUUAUCUGGUUAGUGAGCUGUGAAUUCCUUUUCAAGUUUCUAUGCUUGUAUAUCGUUCGAGAUGAUCAUCAUUUUCUUACAGUCAGUUCAACUAAUGUUUGUAAACCUGUCACUACCCUAUAUUUUCUAGAAUAAUGAUGACUGCUUACAUUAGAAGUGUUAUACUCGAUAAUGCAUAUGCUCUUGAUUUGCACUGGAGCAUAAUUUCUUUACAGGCUACCAUACAUUUGUUGCAAUUUAUUUACUUUGCAUCCUCUUUUUGUUUCUAAGUGGAAAAGAAGGAAAAGAAGUUUUUAGCCUACUGUCUGACCCUUGAUAAAAAAAUCCUUGUGUUACCUGCCAUGUUGCAUUUACGUAAAUGUCUGUCAAUAACUUUUAUGUUUUGAUUUUUGGUGGUGGUUCAUAUCAAGAGCAACAACUCAAAAAUUGGUUUCUGUUUUAUGGAGAAUCAACUUUCAGUUUGUGUCAUGGUAGUGCAUUUUUUAGGCUGGAUUUAUUAGAUAUUUUGCAUUUAUAUUGAAUGGUAAUGAACAACCUGGCUGUUUUUCCAUAUGCUGAUAACACAUUGACAUUUGUCCCAUGCACCUACGAGGGCAUGAAUCAUACUUUCAGUGGCCUCAGUUUAUGAGUUAAAAUAUCAAUUAUUUUAUGUUUGCAAGUUCUUAGCUCAGUGAGAUUGAAUUUUGUUAUUCUAGAGACAGUGGGUGCAAAGUUGAAGAUCCUGACUUGUUAGAGAGAAUUUGACUUACCAUCAUUGACAAUCUUUUGAAGUAGUAUGUAUGCUGAGUUGAUACCUUUGAGUACUUGUGUUUCUGUUGUUUAUGUUUUCUUUUUUUUUGGGUUGGGGGGAUCAAUGAAUGUGAAGAAAAAAAAAAAGCAAAACUUACUUACUAGGAAGAUAAAUAGAAAAAAGAGAACAAAGGGGUGAAGUAAUAUGGGGAAAAACAUGUAGGAAACAUUCUCUAUUACAAACUAGAAUAAUCUAAGAGAUGGGAGAUAUAAUUGAAGAAAUAUGGGGGAGAAACCAAAAGAUUAUCCAAAUAUUCCAUCAACGACACCGAGUUUGACUCAAAACUGAAAAUAAGGCCCUGUGGUGGCCAAGACCUAAUUUAAGAAGUGGGGGGGGGGAAGCUUCAACUAGAGAAAGAAAUUUAUACCUGAUAAGUAAUGUAAAACCUAUCCAUAUAAGAAAAGUUAUAUUAUGGCUUAAACACCUAACAAAGUCUCGACUUGAAAUAAAAAUCUUAAGUUCCUAAAAUCUUAAUAAUGGUUUAUUAUUUUGAUUUCUUUUCCUGCAUCAAGCUCCCAACGAUGUCUUAAAGUAGAUUUGUUUUCUUCAAGUUUACUAAUACUUCUCCUUUGAUGCUAUAGGAAUCUAGCGAGCAACUUGCCAUGGGCGAGGCUUUUGCGGUAAAAGCUCCAGAAAAAAAGGUGGUCUACUUAGAGAUUUUUUCAGCUCAACAAAACUCUUCUGUUAUAAUUUGCUUUAAUUAUUUCACUAAGCUUUGGGCGUGCUGUGGUAGAAAUUGUAGGAACAAAGAUAAAUUCAGACAUGGGUGAAUGACGAUGUCCUGUAGAUUGUACUGUAUCACCUUAGAUAAGUUAAUGUCACUGUUGGCUAGCUACAAGGAAUUUCUUCUUGGUUGAGAAUAUUAGAAAGUUGAUUUGGAGAGACAAUUUUCUGCCAGAGAAAGCAGCUGGCUGGCUAUUAUUAUGUUGUCAAUUUUAGGUUAUCAAAAUCUGAAUUGCUUUAAUUGCCUUAUGUACGUGCUGUUCUUUGUUUUCUUUGGUUGAUUACACUACUUGUCAAUCUUAAUCAUUGGUUGGUGUCAGUCUAGAAAAGUAAUUUUUUUUUCCUGUAUAAUUCUGUUUAAUACCUCAACUUUUUGUAUAUGGUCCUUGUUUCUUCUGAUCAGAUUAUUUCUUCAUUUUCUAUGCUGUGCCACAUUAGGCACGCCAAAUAAAAACAUAUAUGGAAUAUAUGCAACUUCGAAGACCAGCUUCUUUGUUGUCGUUAGUGCGUAAAUUCAGUCUCUGUUAUGUAAGGUUCCUUGCUCAGG